rnacentral:tRNA from 1 species
GGAGAGGUGCGAGAGUGGUUGAAUCGGCACGAUUGGAAAUCGUGUGACCUAAAAAGGUCCGUGGGUUCGAAUCCCACCCUCUCCGCCA